rnacentral:rRNA from 1 species
AUUGAACGCUGGCGGAAUGCUUUACACAUGCAAGUCGAACGGCAGCACGGACUUCGGUCUGGUGGCGAGUGGCGAACGGGUGAGUAAUGUAUCGGAACGAGCCCAGUCGUGGGGGAUAACGUAGUGAAAAUUACGCUAAUACCGCAUACGAUCUAUGGAUGAAAGCGGGGGAUCGCAAGACCUCGCGCGAUUGGAGCGGCCGAUAUCAGAUUAGGUAGUUGGUGGGGUAAAGGCCCACCAAGCCGACGAUCUGUAGCUGGUCUGAGAGGACGACCAGCCACACUGGAACUGAGACACGGUCCAGACUCCUACGGGAGGCAGCAGUGGGGAAUUUUGGACAAUGGGCGAAAGCCUGAUCCAGCCAUUCCGCGUGCAGGAUGAAGGCCCUCGGGUUGUAAACUGCUUUUGUACAGAACGAAAAGGUUUCUACUAAUACUAGGAGCUCAUGACGGUACUGUAAGAAUAAGCACCGGCUAACUACGUGCCAGCAGCCGCCGUAA